GCGAAAAAGGAAGGAAAAAAGUCGGCCUGUGUGCAAAAGAAAGCAUACGCAUAAAAAUCCUACCUAAAGAAAACCACUUUUACUUUCACUAGAGCAAAAGAGGAAAUGCAAAUCCAAGCGAGAAAUGCAACUCGGAGGACUACACUGACAUCUCCAACGUUCAAUUUUAUGCACUCUUGAGAGCACUUUCAAGAUACCAAGCAGAAAACACGGAUAAAACAAACAAGGCAGCAAUAAAGCUGCCUCCUCGCUGCAGAUGACAUCACCGGGAAAGAAGGGAGCGCCGGGGGGAGAGUCAGCCCGCGAGCUGGGGGGACAGCGAGCGAGCGGAAGGCGGUAGAAGGAAAGAGAAGAGCUGGAUUUGAAAUGCAGUCAGAAUUACUGUGCUUUGGAAGGAGGGGAUGACCACGGCGGGUCCCAGACAGAAUACGUUACACAGCCCGGGUCGUGAUGCAGCCCAUCCGUCACAGACGGUAAGCAUGUAAGCGAGCAACACAGCAUCAACCCCGAGAGUGCUGGCAAAGCGAGAGACGCUUUCUUAAUAGCAAGCAACGAGGGCUCACUAAUCCUCAUCUCAGCUGACAGUUCUUUGGCCUCGCUAGACAUUGACAUCAUUUUUUCCCACAGUUAUCAGCCGUACAAUAGCAGCAAGGCAGUGACAUAGGUGCUGUUCUCCUGGCCUGCUUUUCCAGCCGGCAGGGAAGGCCACGCCACCCGUUGUUGUUCGCCGUCCUUUGAACGCUCAAGCGAACCAUCCCAGCGCUGACAUAAUCGCUCUGCGGCGACUGUGAGUCUUUCCAGCGCUAAGAAAACACCGGCUUCUGCAGCACAUCCAUUAACUUUCCAGCAGGCUGGGUUACAGCUAGGCUCGCUGUGCAGCCCUGCAGCACACCACUCACAUGUAGCUCAAGUAACGCAAGAACAAGCCAUUCGCUUCCAGGAACGGGCUGUUCAGUUAGACACCGGCUCCAGGAGCCCUCCGGGCCAAACCCACGACCGAAACGGAUGUUACGAAGCACCCUACCCUAAGGGAGAAUUAAUUGCCAUGUUGAUGUCUAAAUCAAACUAGUUCGGGAUACCUCUUUUCACUGUACUUUGCUAGAAACAAGCGAACAGUAUUCACUGUGUGACAAAUACAUCUCA